rnacentral:rRNA from 1 species
GAUGAACGCUGGCGGCGUGCCUAAUACAUGCAAGUCGAGCGAACAGACGAGGAGCUUGCUCCUCUGACGUUAGCGGCGGACGGGUGAGUAACACGUGGAUAACCUACCUAUAAGACUGGGAUAACUUCGGGAAACCGGAGCUAAUACCGGAUAAUAUAUUGAACCGCAUGGUUCAAUAGUGAAAGACGGUUUUGCUGUCACUUAUAGAUGGAUCCGCGCCGCAUUAGCUAGUUGGUAAGGUAAAGGCUUACCAAGGCAACGAUGCGUAGCCGACCUGAGAGGGUGAUCGGCCACACUGGAGCUGAGACACGGUCCAGACUCCUACGGGAGGCAGCAGUAGGGAAUCUUCCGCAAUGGGCGAAAGCCUGACGGAGCAACGCCGCGUGAGUGAUGAAGGUCUUCGGAUCGUAAAACUCUGUUAUUAGGGAAGAACAAAUGUGUAAGUAACUAUGCACGUAUUGACGGUACCUAAUCAGAAAGCCACGGCUAACUACGUG